AUAGAUGAAAAUCAGAAGAAACGUUUGGUUUCAAUGAAAAUCUGAAAUUUUUGUGAGAACCCAAUAAAGCACAGUGCGUAUAGGAAUGAAUUAGAGCUGGGUUCUUAAGGGGCUUUACCAUUUCGAGCAACGAACAUUCAUGAGUUUCAGUCAAUGUAAGCCAUUGAAGAUCCAAGCGACGUUGAAGAGACCAUAGCCAAAUGAAAAUGCAGUCAAUGAAGGUGGUCUCUAAUUGCUAGAAGAAUUCCAGGAAGAACAGCAGAGGAGAUCCAGAAGUAUUGGACCUCAAGAUACUCCCCGAGUAGUGAAUGAAGUAGAAUCGGAUUGUGGUUUUCUUGUAUCUCAGCAAGCAAUUUUUUAGCAAUUUUAGCGAUUUUGGGGGAAUUGCUUGGUUGAAGAAGACAAGAACUA